rnacentral:rRNA from 1 species
AUUGAACGCUGGCGGUAUGCUUUACACAUGCAAGUCGAACGGCAGCACGGGAGCAAUCCUGGUGGCGAGUGGCGAACGGGUGAGUAAUAUAUCGGAACGUGUCCAGUAGUGGGGGAUAGCCCGGCGAAAGCCGGAUUAAUACCGCAUACGACCUACGGGUGAAAGCGGGGGAUCGCAAGACCUCGCGCUAUUGGAGCGGCCGAUAUCAGAUUAGGUAGUUGGUGGGGUAAAAGCCUACCAAGCCUGCGAUCUGUAGCUGGUCGGAGAGGACGACCAGCCACACUGGGACUGAGACACGGCCCAGACUCCUACAGAGGGCAGCAGUGGGGAAUUUUGGACAAUGGGGGCAACCCUAAGCCAGCCAUACCGCGGGCAGGAAGAAGGCCUUCGGGUUGUAAACUGCUUUUGUCAGAGAAGAAAUCUUUUGGGCUAAUACCUCGGAAGGAUGACGGUAUCUGAAGAAUAAGCACCGGCUAACUACGUGCCAGCCGCCGCCGUAACAC